rnacentral:rRNA from 1 species
GACGAACGCUGGCGGCGUGCUUAACACAUGCAAGUCGAACGGAAAGGCCCUGCUUUUGUGGGGUGCUCGAGUGGCGAACGGGUGAGUAACACGUGAGUAACCUGCCCUUGACUUUGGGAUAACUUCAGGAAACUGGGGCUAAUACCGGAUAGGAGCUCCUGCUGCAUGGGGGGGGUUGGAAAGUUUCGGCGGUUGGGGAUGGUCUCGCGGCUUAUCAGCUUGUUGGUGGGGUAGUGGCUUACCAAGGCUAUGACGGGUAGCCGGCCUGAGAGGGUGACCGGCCACAUUGGGACUGCGAUACGGCCCAGACUCCUACGGGAGGCAGCAGUGGGGAAUAUUGCACAAUGGGCGGGAGCCUGAUGCAGCAGCGCCGCGUGCGGGAUGACGGCCUUCGGGUUGUAAACCGCUUUCGCCUGUGACGAAGCGUGAGUGACGGUAAUGGGUAAAGAAGCACCGGCUAACUACGUG